GUCUAUGGCCAUACCACUGUGAACACGCUGGAUCUUGUCUGAUCUUGGAAGCUACACAGGGUUGGGCCUGGUUAGUACUUGGAUAGGAGACCACCUGGAAAUGUCAAGCAUUGUAGGCU
rnacentral:rRNA from 1 species